rnacentral:rRNA from 1 species
GUGGAUUAGAUACCCUAGUAGUCCACGCCCUAAACGAUGUCAACUAGUUGUUGGGAGAGUAAAAUCUCUUAGUAACGCAGCUAACGCGUGAAGUUGACCGCCUGGGGAGUACGGUCGCAAGAUUAAAACUCAAAAGAAUUGACGGGGGCCCGCACAAGCGGUGGAUUAUGUGGAUUAAUUCGAUGCAACGCGAAAAACCUUACCUGGCCUUGACAUGCUACUAACGAAGCAGAGAUGCAUUAGGUGCCCGAAAGGGAAAGUAGACACAGGUGCUGCACGGUUGUCGACAGCU